UGGGGGCGGGGAGGAAUUGGGAAGGUAGGGUUGGGGCCUUAGUCACCUCGCGACGGACACGGGCUCCCUAGGCGUCUCCCGUCAACCCCGAUCUCUCCCCUAAACUUUGGACAUUCUCCCCUACGGUGUACCUGACCCCACUCCAACAAUCCCCAGACCCACCGCAGUCCUCCCCUCUUUCCGCGGAGACCACCGGCCGAGAGCCGAGGGCGCCUUUUGCACCGGUGCGGCGAGCGCGGGGUGCAGAGGUAACCCCGCAGCGCUGGGCGUGGGGUUCCCCGAAACGCCGGGCAGACUGCCUGGGAGUGGCCCGGAGCCCCGGAGCCGAGGGCUGGGGAGCCUCCGCAAUAGGCCCGGCCCCCCUCCGGAGGAGCGCCGUCCGCGGUGGGGCUGGUUUCCGAGGUGCUGUGCGGGGUUCGCGAUGUUUACUUUUCAGCUGAGGUUUCCAUGGGGUGGGGUGGGGGGCCAGGGGAACCUCCUUCCGGCACGAUUGCGAGAUCGCAGUGUUAUGCCAGUAGCAGAGAAGCGGCUCGGGGUGGAGAACGGUUUUAGUUAAAGGUACAGAGCUUAGUUCGGACUCUCGAGAUUCUGCAUCUGCGCUUGAGCCAUUAGUAGAUACCAUUAUGUCUUCGCUGUUCCCACAUGAAAUUAGUGAGAACUUUAGACUUUUGGGUUGGUGGUAAAUGAAUCCAGGGUGCUUACUUUCUACUUGUAUUUUCUGGUUACAGAUAAAGAUGUCUUUCUCCUUUUAACCGUCGCAGCAGAUUAUUAGACACUAUUGACCAGAAAUUUUAAAAAUUUUUAAAAAAAAAGCCUUUGGAGAUCACAUCGUCUUCAGGAUCAACUUCUUAGAACCCAUUUCUGUGUGUUUGGAUCGAAAAAGUACCAUUUUCAAAUCCAGAGCUAAGAAAAUACUGAGGCUUUUGGAAAUGAACUUGAAGGAAAUUUUACACGUUGAAUAUGCAAAUCUCUAUCUUUGCAUUAGUUUUUCUUAAAAAAAAAACACCUAAAUUCUCAUGUUUAAUUGAUUCCUUUUUAAAAUACUAAAUUGUUUGCUUCUUUUGCCUAGGUCUCUGUGUUGGUUAGUUGAAACAAAAAAAUAAACAUGGCCUUCUACAGUUAUAAUUCAUUCUUAGCUAUUUUCUGGACAAGACUGCCUGGCCAUUCUGUGUACCCUUCCUGCUCUCAUUUCCCAUCACUUGCAUUUCUCCACUUGCCAGAUUCUCACUUACGUACAGCCUACGUGAAAAACUGCGGAAGCAGGAAGUAUUCCUAUCCCAGUCUAACAGGCAAUAAUAAAGUCCAUCCCUUACGAGCCAGGCUCCCACAAAAACUGCACACAACCUGCUGGCUACAACAUGUCCCUGGCAAACCUCAGCUGGAGCAAACAGGGAAGCCAAAGGCAGCAAGCCCUCAGCCUACCAAAGAAGCCGAGACAGAGACUACAGAAGAAAAGCGGUCUUUGAGACAAAAAAUUGUGAAUGAACUUAAAUACUAUUACAAAGGAUUCAGCUUGCUUUGGAUUGACACCAAAGUCGCUGCCAGAAUAGUGUGGAGGCUACUGCAUGGUAAUACGCUAACCAGACGAGAGAGGCGAAGGCUGUUGAGAACGUGUGCCGAUGUCUUCCGCUUGGUUCCAUUUAUGGUGUUCAUAAUUGUACCUUUUAUGGAGUUCUUGAUACCAGUGUUUCUGAAGCUCUUCCCAGACAUGUUGCCAUCAACUUUUGAAAGUGAAUCCAAAAAGGAAGAAAAACAGAAAAAGACGAUGGCUGCCAAACUGGAAAUAGCCAAAUUCCUUCAAGAAACAAUGACAGAGAUGGCGAGGAGAAACCGAGCCAAGCUAGGAGAUGCAUCUUCCCAGCUUUCUUCCUAUGUGAAACAGGUCCAAACAGGUCACAAGCCCUCCACGAAGGAGAUAGUUAGGUUCUCCAAACUCUUCAAGGAUCAGUUAGCCCUGGAACACUUAGACCGGCCCCAGCUGGUUGCCCUGUGCAAGCUGCUGGAACUGCAGACCUUCGGAACAAACAAUCUGCUCCGCUUCCAGCUCCUGAUGACACUGAAGUCUAUAAAAGCAGAUGAUGAAAUAAUUGCCAAAGAAGGGGUGAAGGCUUUGAGUGUGUCAGAACUGCAGUCUGCGUGCCGGGCCCGGGGGAUGAGGUCGCUGGGCCUCACUGAGGAGCAACUGUGCCAGCAGCUCACUGGGUGGCUGGACCUCCACUUGAAGGAGAACGUCCCUCCUUCUCUUUUGCUCCUGUCACGCACCUUCUACCUGAUCGAUGUGAAGCCAAAGCCUAUUGAACUUCCACCGAAUAUCGAGACUCCAAAGACAAACCUUGGAGUAGCGAUCCCUGCACCUCCACCGCCCAAGUCAGAGGAGAACCUCACAGACUCUGCACCUCAGCUGAAGGGAACGAAGUUCUAAUGUUUAAGGAUGAAGAAUUUAUACAACUGCCCCCAGUACCGUCGUCAUCACUCAUAGCACCAGCAGCAACUAUUUCCAAAGAAGCAAUCCUCCAGGCCAAGUCCCAGGAGACCUCACAGAACAGCAAGGCUGAUUCCAAAGGAGCCUAAGGAUCCCUUGAAGAUGGCGCUCCCUCUCUUCAGUCACUGCCUUUCAGCAGUGGCGUCCACAAAGGAAUUCCAGCUAAGACUGUCUGGCUUGAGAUAAAGGAUCAGCCAUUAAGUCGUUGGAGGCCUUGUGACCAUCCCAGAGAUGCAAGCAGUGACACCAAGUUCAGGCCAUUUAGAGAAGCUUAAUUACAGUCCAUCUCUACUGUAUAAUUUUGUCAUCUUACUAAACAUUGCAUAAAGACACUCCCACCAA